UUUUUUUUUUUUUUUUUUUAUAAUUGGGAAAUUUUUUUAAAAAUAUAUUUUUUUUUUCAUGGAACUCGUCUCUUGAAGAGACGAGUUCCCUUGAGUAAAUGGGGAAUUUUUUAAAAAAUAUAUAUAUAUUUUUUCAUGGAACGUCUCUUGAAGAGACGAGUUCCCUUUUUUUAAAAAAAAUUUCCAUUCACCCUCUCUCCUCUUUCCUAUCUCCUCUCUCCUCUCUCCUCUUUCCUCUCUCCUAUGUGGCAAAAACUUCCAUAUAUUUGUAAUAACUUUUUCUACUACAAUAAUUUAAGCAUAACUUUUUAAAAUUACUGUACUAUUGAGAAAAGUCUAAAGAAGGUUACUACCGACCAUUCUUUUCCUAAACUAAGCAUUUAACUAACAGAGUGAAGGCAUUAAGAAUCCUACUUUCACAAAAAAAUAAAAGCUACAAUGGGUUACUAUAGCAAAAGCCCUACAAAGGCAAAUAAUCAAUUGAGACAAAAAUGUCCAACAAAGGCAAAUAACUUUUCAAGGUGCUUCAGGGAUGAGGGAAGAUUCAAAUGAAGGUAGAUCAAGCACUUUUUCCCCACCAGAGGAACCAUUUCAGAUUGCAUCCUGAUCCUUAAAACAAGGCACCACCAAAGGCAUAGCAUCCGAACAUUCACUUUCAAUCUUGUUUCCCAAGGUCUAGCUCGUCAAACGAUCUCAAGCAAAGGCAUUCACACCAACUUUCAAUCAAGUUCAAACGAACCACUCACUCCAAUAUGACUCCUUAAGACGACUUGGGCAAGCAUCUUUAGAAAACCACUUAACUUGAGACAGCUCAUAAAAGACAGACGACUUAGCCUUUCAAGCUUCCUCUUUCAAAGGGAAGACCAGCACAAGAGGCAAUCGCUUAGACAACCAUCAUUGCUCAACACCACUUCCCAAGAAACAGCCUCCACUCUUCAAGCCCUCCAUCUAGAAGAAGUGGAGGUUGCGGUGCACUAAAGGGGCUAAAAGUUUGGUUCACCUCAACCAAAAAGAAGUAACUCCAAACUAAACCACUUUCAAGCAAUUAGAGAAAACCCCACACCUAAAAAAGUCUCUGUAAAGCGUAAAAAAAAAAAAUUGAUAACAAAGAUCAUGUUUCCAAGGCCAAUAAAACCAUCAAUACGACAAAAGGAAAGAGUUCUAUAAAAAGUAAAAAGUUUCACAAGAAUCCAAUGAAGAGAACUCCAUAAAUAGCUUCUUCCUACCAAAGAAAGGGGCAAGUCGUCCUCUACUAAAUCCCUCUCUAUAUUCACCAAACAAUUGCAUAAAAAUUUAAUCGUUCAUGGAAGAAUUUUAGCAUCUUUAAUGACAAAUAAAAACAAACAAUUAGGAGAAGUAGUUGUAUAAAAGAAAUGUAUAUCUAAUUAGAAACUGGAAUCAAAUUUCCAAGCCACCUUUUUAACUUAGGCACGAGCAUAGAAGAGAACGCGACAUAUGUCUUCUUCGCAAGAAGAGUGCUUUCUCGUAUUGAAGUAGGAAAUAUUCACGAAAAAAAAGACAUACAAAAAAAAAAUAAAGAAAACAACAUAAAGUCUAAAGCUUGGGGAAUAAUGAGAGAAAUAAAGUAACAACUUACAAAAAGGAAGCUGCUCGGCAUGUCUGAUGUGGAUCUUGCGUUGCGGUUGAAACCGGAAGGAGCAAUUCAUCAACUAGGGUUUGGGGAAUGAAACGGUCGGAGGGAGAUAUACAAGGAAAAUAGUGUUGGGGUGAAUUGGCUGUAAGGCCCAUAAAUUUCCACGCUAGGUAAAUCACUUAAACGAAGGUCAGGUUGUAGGCCGCAGCUCCCUUGAACUCAUUAUGACUAGGGGCUUUGAAUCCAAACCAUUUAGAGGUAGGCCUACAAUUCGUCCAACCUUGGAAUAAAAAAGCCCAUUUAGGUUUUCUGUGAGAUGUUGCAGCUGAAAAUAUACACCAAAGUUCAAAAUUUGGGCCCAGGCAGAAACCAGAUUUCAGAAUCGCCACCCAAACAUGAGAAACCUCGUUCUUGAAAACCACAUAUAUUCAUUUCACCCAGUUUAUACACACACCACCAAUGCCAGUUCCCCCAGGCGUUGUGCACAACCGUAAACUCACUUAUGAUACACGCACAUAACAUGGAUCGAUAUCCUGCAGUCUAGGCUAUGAAAGACACAUAACUCGCGUUCAGCCUGGACGCUACUAAACUCUUACGAUGAAAACAUCCCUAACCAUGGAGAGCAUUAGAUUCGUAUAACAUUACCCACACAUUGGGGAGCAAAUAGUAGCCUGUAAAGAUUAACUACCUCUUGAGUAAAAAUGGGACAGGCCCCAAAAGGCCAGGAUGAAAUUAGCAUUGCAUUCGGUAUUACUCUUAUGUGCCCUGUGAAAACAUGAAAAGUCUUAUGUAGAUGUAGACUCCUUCAGACUCCUUCCCCUUCGUUACCUUCAGCAUUAUCUCUCAUCAAGAGCCUGCCUGGUGGAGGUAACUCCCUCUGGCAGAAUGAUUCGCAACUAUUCCCUUUGGAUCAUACACAACUUAAAACAUCUAUGACCUAAUGCAACAGUUGUUACUUGGAGAGCUCCCUCAUGCUGGGAGGAGUGUCAUGGUUAAUAGCCCAGAAAAAUGACCUCCCACUUCAUCCACCAUCAAAUCAUAACUCAACGAAAGAGAGGAGCCCCUUGUAGUAUAAUUAGAUUCGAAUUAGAUUUGGAAACCGUAGACAAACUUGUAGAAAAAUUCAUGAUCUAAACAAAAAUAUUAUGAACUGCUGAACAAAAAUACAUCUGAACUUAAAGUUAUUUAGAGGAAACGAAACUAUAAAUUACGAAUUACUGAAACAAGCAGUCUCAGAGGAUUGUGAACAUGAUAAUACUAAACUAAAAAACAAAACGGUGUUCAGCAAACCCUAUAUACAGAUUUAACUGGC
rnacentral:lncRNA from 1 species